UGGUGGGUAGUUUGACUGGGGCGGUCUCCUCCUAAAGAGUAACGGAGGAGCACGAAGGUUGGCUAAUCCUGGUCGGACAUCAGGAGGUUAGUGCAAUGGCAUAAGCCAGCUUGACUGCGAGCGUGACGGCGCGAGCAGGUGCGAAAGCAGGUCAUAGUGAUCCGGUGGUUCUGAAUGGAAGGGCCAUCGCUCAACGGAUAAAAGGUACUCCGGGGAUAACAGGCUGAUACCGCCCAAGAGUUCAUAUCGACGGCGGUGUUUGGCACCUCGAUGUCGGCUCAUCACAUCCUGGGGCUGAAGUAGGUCCCAAGGGUAUGGCUGUUCGCCAUUUAAAGUGGUACGCGAGCUGGGUUUAGAACGUCGUGAGACAGUUCGGUCCCUAUCUGCCGUGGGCGCUGGAGAACUGAGGGGGGCUGCUCCUAGUACGAGAGGACCGGAGUGGACGCAUCACUGGUGUUCGGGUUGUCAUGCCAAUGGCACUGCCCGGUAGCUAAAUGCGGAAGAGAUAAGUGCUGAAAGCAUCUAAGCACGAAACUUGCCCCGAGAUGAGUUCUCCCUGACCCUUUAAGGGUCCUGAAGGAACGUUGAAGACGACGACGUUGAUAGGCCGGGUGUGUAAGCGCAGCGAUGCGUUGAGCUAACCGGUACUAAUGAACCGUGAGG
rnacentral:rRNA from 5 species